UACGUAGGGUGCAAGCGUUAAUCGGAAUUACUGGGCGUAAAGCGUGCGCAGGCGGCUUUGCAAGACAGAUGUGAAAUCCCCGGGCUUAACCUGGGAACUGCAUUUGUGACUGCAUUGCUGGAGUGCGGCAGAGGGGGAUGGAAUUCCGCGUGUAGCAGUGAAAUGCGUAGAUAUGCGGAGGAACACCGAUGGCGAAGGCAAUCCCCUGGGCCUGCACUGACGCUCAUGCACGAAAGCGUGGGGAGCAAACAGG
rnacentral:rRNA from 1 species